AUUUUAUUUAUUUGGGAGACAGAGAAAGAGAAAGCACGAGCCGGGGGAGGGAGGUGGGGGACUGGGUGGAGGGGGAGAGGCAGAAGCAGGCUCCCCGAUGAGCAGGGAGCCCAAUGCAGGGCUCCAUCUCAGGACCCUGGGAUCAUGACUUGAGCCAAAGACACUUAACCGACUGAGCCACCCAGGUGCCCCCCAGUAGGUACGUACAUGUUCCAGAAGCAGCUUAUAAAUAGCUUGAGGGAGCCUACAUGGUUAGAAAUGACCAUGUCCUCUUAAUUUUCAGGAAUCUGUGUUCUGAUUGUUAAUUGCUUCUUCUGAGCGCACAGUUGCAGACAAAGAGGCAGGCAGCCAUUGUCUUUGCAUCUCCUCCUAUUGUAGCAAACUAUCCCCCCUCCUCCUAUGACUUCUAGUGAAUUCAAAGAGCUGGCACUCUUUCCCUCUCCCUUCAUUUUUCCUCUUUCACCCUUUUUGGGAGUGAGAUAUUAAAGACUAAGACAUUAAAAAACAACUGCGUCUAUAGGGAAAAUUAGAAAGUGAUAGUACAUGCCUGGGAAAAGGCUCAAAGAAACCAGAGAAGAUCUUAAAUUUACAUAAACCCAAGGCUGAUUCUUGGUACAGAGAUAGCUUACAACAAUCAAAAAACAAAAAACAGUAGCAAAAACUUAGAAGACCCUGAAGAAGGGGAAGAAUCUGAUUUCCAGAGUUACCACAGUCCCAAAUUAUUUUUUAAUAAAGAUUUUAUUUUAUUUUAAAGAUUUAUUUAUUUUAGAGAGAGAGGGAGAGUGUGUGCCAAGUGGGUGGAGGGAUAGAGGGAUAGAAUCUUGAAGCAGACUCCCCAUUGAGCACAGAGCCCGAUUUGGGGCUCAAUCCCAUGACCCAUGCCUGAGUCAAAACCAAGAAGUCAGAUGCUUAACCAACUGAGCUACCCCAGGCACCCCAAUAAAGAUUGCAUUUUUAAGUAAUCGCUUCAGCCAACAUGGGGCUUGAACUUACAGUCCUGAGAUCAAGAGUCAGAUGCUUCACUGACUGAGCCAGCCAGGUGUUCCACCACAGCCCCAGAUUUGUUGAAAAACAUGAGUAUAAACAUCCAAGAAGCUCCAAGUAAGGUGAACUCAAGGAGACCCACAUGAGACAUAUAUAAUCAAACUUUCCAUAGACAAAGAAUCUUGAAUGCCAAAAGAGAGAAUCAACUCAGCACAUACAAGGGAUCCUCAAUAAGAAUAUGAGCAUGUUUCUCAUCAGAAACUUUGGGGACCAGAAAGCAGUGAGCCUAAAAGAAUGAAGAUUUAAUUUUGUUUUUUAGUCCUGUGUUUGGCAAAACUGUCCUUCAAAAGUGUCUUUGUUUGUGUUUUAGUUUAAAUAAAUUUGAUUUAAAAAAAUAAAUUAGAUCAUUUAUGUGUAACACACUUGACUCUAAAGUCCAAUCACAGAUUAAGAAAAAAAAAGAGGGCUGCCUGGCUGUCUCGAUUUGUGGAAUGUGUGACUUCUGAUCUUGGGGUUGUGAGUUCAAGCCCCAUGUUCGAGGUAGAGGUCCUAAGGGGCACCUGGGUGGCUCAGUUGGUUAAGCAUCUGCCUUUGGCUCAGGUCAUAAUCCCACAGUCCUGGAUUGAGCCCCAUGUUGGGCUCCCUGCUCAUUGGGGAGUCUGCUUCUCCCUCUCCCCCCUCCCCAUUCUCUUUUUGCCCCUCCCCCCACUCAUGUGCACACACGUGCCCUCUCUCUCUCACUCUCAAAUAAGUAAAGUCUUAAAAAAGAUGUGUGUAUACACACACAUACAUACACAUAUGGAAUGGAAUGUUUUUCAGCCAUAAAAAAAGAAUGAAAUAUUGCCAUUUGCAAUGACGUGGAUGGUGCUAGAGAGUAUUAUGCUAAGCAAGAUAGAAAACAAGAAAUACCGUAUGAUAUCCCACCAACAGUGCAUGAUGGUUCCUUUUUCUGCACAUUGUCACCAACACCUAUUCUUUCUUGUGUUACUGAUUUUAGCCAUUCUGACAGGUGUGAGGUGAUAUCCCAUUGUAGUUUUGAUUUGCAUUUCCCUGAUGGUAAGUGAUGAUGAGCAUCUUUUCAUCUGUUGACCAUCUGCAUGUCUUCCUUGGAAGAAAUGUCUGUUCAUGUCUUCUCAUUUUUUAAUUGGAUUAUUUGUUUGUUGGGUGUUGAGCUUUAUAAGUUCUUUAUAUAUUUUGGAUACUAACCCUUUAUUGGAUAUGUCAUUUGUAAAUAACUUCUCUCAUUUCGUAGGCUGUCUUUUAGUUUUGUUGAUUGUUUACUUUGCUGUGCAGAAGCUUGAUUUUGCUGUAGUACCAAUAAUUUAUUUUUUCUUUUGUUUCCUAUGCCUCAUUAGACAUACCUAGAAAGAAUUUGCUACAGCCGAUAUCCAAGAAGUUACUGUCUGUGUUCUCUUCUAGGAUUUUUAUGGUUUCAGGCCUCACAUUUAGGUCUUUAAUCCGUUUUGACUUUAUUUUUGUGUGUUGUGAAAGAAAGUGGGCCAGUUUCAUCCUUUUGCAUGUUGCUGUCCAGUUCUCCCAACACCAUUUGUUGAAGAGACUCUUUUUUUCCCAUUGGAUAUUCUUUCCUGCUUUGUCAAAGAUUAAUUGACCAUAUGGUUGUGGGUGUAUUUCUGGGUUUUCUUUCUGUUCCAAUGAUCUGUAUGUCGGUUUUUGUGCCAGUACCAUAGUGUUUUCAUUACUACAGCUUUGUAAUAUAACUUGAAGUCUGGAAUUGUGGUAUCUCCAGCUUUACUUUUCUUUUUCAAGAUUGCUUUGGCUGUUUGGGGUCUUUGGUGGUUCCAUACCAGAUUUUAGAGGAUUGUUUGUUUUAGUUCUAUGAAAACUGCUGUUGGUAUUUUGAUAGGGAUUGCAUUAAAUGUGUAGAUUGCUUUGGGUAGUGUAGACAUUUUAACAGUAUUUGUUCUUCCAGUCUGUGAGCAUGGAAUGUUUUCCCAUUUCUUUGUGUUCCCUUCCAUUUCUUUCAUCAGUGUUUUAUAGUUUUCAAAGUACAGGUCUUUCACAAGAGCUGCAUUUUUAAAAAUGUUAUUAAUAUAAAAACUAGCAUGUGACUUAUUUGUAGCUCUACAUUUUUUCCCAUGUAAUUUAGGAGACUAAUGCAUUUAAAAGAAUUUUUAGUUCGUGUUUUGGGGCACACGUGUAUAAGAUUAUAGUAUUGUAACAUCAGCAACAGAAAAGGUUGGGGAUAGAGGUGUAAAGGAACAGAGUUUUUGUAUGUUACUGAAGAUAAGCUGGCAUAAAUUCAGAUUAGAGUGUUACAACUUGAAGAUAUGAAGUAUAAUCCCCAUGAUAACUACAAAGAAAAUAGCUGUAGAAUAUGCACAAAAGGAAGUGAGAGUACUUGAAGUCAUAGAGACAGGGAGUAGAAUGGUGGUUGCAGGGGCUGGAGGAAGAGGGAAAUAGAAGGAGUUACUGUUUAAUGAGUAUAGAAUUUCAGUUUUAUGUGAUGAAAAGAGUUACUGAAAUGGAUGGUGAUGAUAGCUGCACAACAUUAUGAAUGUGUUUAAUACUACUUAAUUCUACAUUUGAAAAUGGUUAGGAUAGUGAAUUUUGCUAUGUGAUUUUACUACAGUAAAAAGAAGGAAAGAAAGGGGAAAAAAGUAUAGAUUCCUCUUUAUGGAAAGGUCUCCCAAGAUACAUUAAGUGUUGGGGUGCCUGGGUGGCUCAGUUGGUUAGGCGUCUGCCUUUGGCUUGGGUCAUGAUCCCAGGGUCUUAGGGUUGGGCCCCACGUCGGGCUCCCUGCUCGGUGGGGAAUCUUAAAAAAAAAAAAAAGAUACGUUAAGGGAUGCCUGGGUGGCUCAGUCGGUUAAGCAUCUGCCUUUGGCUCAAGUCGUGAUCCCGGGGUCCUGGGAUCGAGUCCCGCAUCGGGAGCCUGCUUCUCCCUCUGCCUGCCGCUUCCCCUGCUUGUGUGCGUGCUCCCUCUGACAAAUAAAUAAAUAAAAUCUUAAAAAAAAAAAAAAGAUUAAGUGUAUAAAACAUGAUGUAAAAAGAAAAAAAGAUAAUUGACUAUUUAAAGCAAGAUAAUAGUAAUAUAUUUGGGGGUUAUAGCAUAUGUGAAAAGUAAAAUAAAAGACGGUAACACAAAGGUUUUGAUGAGGGAAAUAGACAUAUACUUUGAAAAGUUCUUACAUUAUACCUAGGUUUUACCAUUUGAAGGUGGACUGUGGCAAGUUCAAGAUGCAUAUUGAUGAUUUAUCCCCAGUGCAGUCACUUAAACAAAAGUAAACAAAGAGUAUAAAGAUUCUAGUUAAAAAACAGAUUAGGGGCGCCUGGGUGGCUCAGAUGGUUAAGCGUCUGCCUUCAGCUCAGGUCAUGAUCCCAGGGUCCUGGGAUUGAGCCCCACAUCGGGCUCCUGGCUUAGCAGGGAGUCUGCUUCUCCCUCUUCCUCUCCCUCUCCCACUGCUCAUGCUCUCUCUCUCUCUGUAUCUCUGUGUCUCAAAUGAAUAAAUAAAAUCUUUAAAAAUAUAUAUAUUUUUUAUAAAAAAGCAGAGAUUAUCUGCCUUUUAUGUUUAUAUGUUUCAUUUAUGCAUGACAUAGUACCUUUUCUUGAAAAAUUGAUUCCUUUAUUAUGAAAUGUCUCCUCAUCCCUGGUAAUAUUCCCUUUCCUGAGGUCUGCUUUAUUCAAUACCAGUACAGCCACUCAGCUCUGUUGUGCUUCCUGUUUACAUACUUAUCUUCUUCCAUUCCUUUUACUUUGAACCUGAGAUUUUAUAUUUAAAAUGAAUUUCUUCUGGGACACUUGGCUGGCUCAGUCAGUAGAGCAUGUGAUUCUUGGUCUUGGGGUUGUGAGUUCAAGCCCCACAUUGGGUGUAGAGAUUACCUAAAAAUAAAACUUUUUUAAAAAAUGGAUUUCUGGGGCGCCUGAGUGGCUCAGUCGUUAAGCGUCUGCCUUCGGCUCAGGUCAUGAUCCCAGGGUCCUGGGAUCAAGCCCCACAUCGGGCUCCCUGCUCCGCGGGAAGCCUGCUUCUCCCUCUCCCACUCCCCCUGCUUGUGUUCCCUCUUUCACUGUGUCUUUCUGUCAAAUAAAUAAAAUCUUUAAAAAAAAAAAAUGGAUUUCUUCUUCAUAUCAUAUAAUUGCGUCUUGCUUUUAUCAGACUGAUAAACUCUACCUUUUAUUUGGAAUCUUUUGCCAUUUCCACUUAAUAAAAUUAUUUGACCUGGUUGGUUCUGAGCCUGCCAUCUUGCUAUUUGUUUUGUAUUUGUCCCAUUUAUUCUUUGUUUCCUAGCUUUCUUUAGGCCAUUUUUUUAAUAUUUAUUAUUUAUCAUUUUGUGUUCCAUUGUAUUUAUUUGUAUUUCUUGGUAAGUGUAUAUAUACCUUGAAAAAAUAUGUAUAAUUUUAAUAUAUAAUAAUAUAUAAAAAUAUGUAAAGUAUAUAUGAUUUUUAUUUGCAAUAUAUAUAAUUUUAUAUAUAGCAUGAUUUUUAUUUAUAAUAUAUCAUUUUUAUUUAUAAUCAAUAUAUAAAUAUAUAAAUUGUUAUAUAUAUACACACUUAAUUACAGAGCUUCAAAAUAUAUAAAAUGAAAGCUUAUAGAACUAAAUAAAUAGACAAAUUCACAGUUAUAGCUGGAGAUUUCAAAACUUCUAUCUCAGUAAUUGGUAGCAUAGUAAAUAGAAAAUCAGGACACAGAAGAGGGGUUGACAGACUGUGACAUGUGGGCCAAAUCUGUCUUAUUUGCCCAUUUUUAUAUUCCGUGUGACCUAAGACUGAUUUUUACAUUUUUAAAUUGUGAAAAAAAUAAAGAACAAUAUUCUGAGAUACAUGAAGCUUAUAUGAAAUAGAAAUUUCAGUGUUUAUACAUAAAACUUUAUUUGAACCCAGGCACACUCCUUUAUGUGUAGUGGUAGCAUGGUGCUUCCAUGCUACCACUGUAGAGUUAAAUAGAUGCAACAGAGAUUAUAUGUCUCACAAAACCUAAAAUAUUUAUGUAGCCCUUUAAGAAAAAGUUUGUACAUCCCCUAAUAUAGACGUUUUGAACACUAAUAACCAGCUUGUUUUAAUUGACAAUGGAACGGUUUCUGUAACACUAUUAGAAUACACAUUUUUUUAAGUUCACAUGAAAUAGUCACCAAGAUAGGCUAUAUUUGGAUCCUAAAACAAGUCUCAGUGAAGGUGAAUGCAUUAAAAUUAUAUAGGGUUAGUUCUCUUACUUCAUUAAAAUUAUAUUAGAAAUCAAAAAAGUAUAAUCCUCAAUAUAUGGGGGAAAUUUUCCAAAUUACUUAUAGAAAAGGUAACACUUAACCCAUGGAUCAAAUAUGUCACAAAGGAAAUUAGAAAAUAUUUUGAAUUGAAUUAAAAUGAAAACAGAAUUUACUAAACUUUGAAGGGUGCAGCUAGAACUGUUCUUAGAAGGAAACUUAAUAGCUUUAAAUGUUUAUAUUAGAAAAGAAAAAGGUAUAAAAUGAAUUAUCUACGCUUCUAAGCAUAACAGAGAAAAGCAAGUGAAACUCCCAAGUAAAUAGGAUGAAAAUAUUAAAUAUGAGGAGCUUAGAUUAAGGACAUAGAAAACAAGCAGUAGAGAAAAAAUCAUGAAACCAAUAGUUUUUUUUUUUAUAGGUCAAUAAAAUUGAUAAACUUCUAGGUUUAUCAAUGAGAGAAAUUACCAACAUCAAGAAUGCUUCUAUACAUUAAAAGGCUAGUGUUACAGACUGAAUGUAUACCUCCCAAAUUCAUGUGUGUAAGGCCCAGUCUUCAAUGUGAUGGUAUAUGGAAAUGGGGCCUUGGAGUUGGAGCCCUCAUAAUGGAAUUAGUGUCCUUACAAAGAGAUACCGGAGAGCUUGCUCUUGCCUCCAUCCCUGCCAUGUGAGGACACUGAAAAGGUGCCUUGUCUAUAAGCCAGGAAAAGAGUCCUCAUUAGAAAUUGAAAUGCUGGGCGCCUGGAUGGCUCAGUUGGUUGGGUGACUGCCUUCGGCUCAGGUCAUGAUCUGGAGUCCCGGGAUCAAGUCCCGCAUCGGGCUCCCUGCUCAGCAGGGAGUCUGCUUCUCCCUCUGACCCUCCUCCCUCUCGUGCUCUCUGUCUCUCAUUCUCUCUUGCAAAUAAAUAAAAUCUUAAAAAAAAAAAAAAGAAAAGAAAAGAAAGUGAAAUGCUGGCACCUUAAUUUUGUGUUUUUGUUUUUUAAAGAUUUUAUUUAUUUAUUUGACAGAGAGAGCGAGAGAGGGAACACAAGCAGGGGGAGUGGGAGAGGGAGAAGCAGGCCUCCUGUAGAGCCGGGAGCCCGAUGGCAGGGCUCAAUCCCAGGACUCUGGGAUCAUGACCUAAGCCGAAGGCAGACACUUAAAGACUGAGCCACCCAGGCGCCCCUGGCACCUUAAUUUAGGACUUCUAAUCUCCAGAACUAUGAGAAAGUAAAUUUCUAUUGUUAAACCACCCUGUCUGUUGUAUUUGGUUAUAGUAUCUUAAGCAGGCUAAGACAGAGAUUAAGAAAAUAUUAUGAACAAUUUAAAGCCAGUAAAAUGAAUGAACAGGCAUUCAUUCAGGUUAGAAGUGGACAAAUUCCUUGAAAAAUACAAAGUACCACAACUGAUGCAAAAUGGCUAGAAAACCCAAAUAACUCUAUACCUGUUUUAAAAAAUCAAAUUGAGAAAGAAAGUUAAGACCUAAUGGCUUUAUUUAAGGAAAUAAUAAUACAAGUGUUAUACAAAUUCUUUCAGAAUAUAGAAGAGAAGAACACUGUUUAAUUUAUUUUAUGGAGUUAGUAUUACCCUUGAUAACAGGAGGGGGAAGAAAACUACAGAUUAAUAUCCCUCAUGAAAUUGGACCCAAAAAUAAUAUUUAGAAUGCAUUAAAUUAAAUUCAGCUGUAUAUCUAUGGAAAGGAGAUCAUAUAUCAUGACCAAGCCAGAAUUAUUCCAAAAAUACAAAGUGGUUUACCUUUUGAAAAUUAGUGCAACAUACUCUAUUAACAGAAUAAAGAGAAAAACUUUAUGAUCAUCUUAAUAUAUCCUGCGAUGACAUUUGAAAAAUUCAGUUUUUAUUUAUGAUAAACAAGACCUUCAGCCACCUAGGAAUAGAAGGGAACGUGUUUACCCUGAUAAAGGCAUGAAACUACAUCAUACUUAAUGGUGUAAGGGAAUCCUAUCCGCUGAAAUCCACUGUGAUGCAAGUAUGUCCGAUCUCAUUAUUUCUGUUCAACUUUGUACAAGAAGUUCUAGCCAGGUCAAUAAAACUAGAAUAAGAAAUAAAAGGCAGGGACGCCUGGGUGGCUUAGUCAGUUAAACGUCUGUCUUCAGCUCAGGUCAUGAUCUCAGGGUCCUGGGAUCAAGUCCCACAUUGGGCCCCUUGUUCAGCGGGGAGUCUGCUUCUCCCUCUGCCUGCUCUGCCUGCCGUUCCCCCGCUUGUGCUCUCUCUCUCUCUCUUUCUGACAAAUAAAUAAAAUAUUAAAAAGAAAAAUAAAAGGCAUACAUGUUGGAAAGUAAGGAAUAAAGCUGUAUAUGUAGGAAAUUCUAAAGAAUUACUAAGGUUGCAGGAUACAGGGUCAGGAAUAUGUGUAAGACCAUUACACUGAAAACCACAGAACAUUGUUAAGGGAAAUUAAAGAAGGCCUAAAUAAAUGCAGAGAGAAAUAAUGAGGUAUAUGUUUUGGAUGACUCAAAACUGUAUGAUGUGUACCUGUAUGAUGUGUACCCAGAUAAGUACCUGAUUUCAAGAAUGGCUAUAAAGGGGCUGGCUCGGUCAGAAGAGCAUGUGACUUUUGAUCUCCAGGUUGUGAGUUCAAGCUCCACUUUGGGUGUAGAAAUUACUAAAAAAAAAAAAAAAAAAAAAAAUGAACAAUUUAAAAAAGAAAAAAGAAUUGCUCUAAAGCUAUAGUAAUCAAGACAGUAUGGUAGUGUCAUAUGGUACAUGUUUAGCUUGAGGAGGUGGGGGUUUUGGAGGGAGGACCGACUACAAAGGAGCACCAGGGAACUUUUGGAGAUGGUGGAAAUGUUCUGUAUCUUGAUUUUUGCCAUCAUAUGGGUAUAUACAUUUGUCAAAAGUUGUCAUACUGCAUUUAAAAUGUAGGUGGAUUUUAUUAUAUCUAAAGUAUAACCUAACAAAGUUGCAUUUUUAAAAAGAUCCAUAUUGGGGGCUCCUGGGUGGCUCAGUCGGUUAAGCGUCUGCCUUCAAUUCAGGUUAUGAUCUCAGGUUCCUGAGAUCGAGCCCUGCAUCCAGCUCUCUGCUCAGCGGGGAGCCUACUUCUCCCUCUCCCUCUGCUGCUCCCCCUGCUUGCGCUCUCUCUCUCUCUCUGUCAAAUAAAUAAAUAAUGUUUAAAAAAAAUAAAAAGAUCCAUAUUUCUAGGAUAGUUUUCUUGGUGGAUUUCUCCAGUUUUGAGAUGGGAAUAUAUGAAUUUUAAACUUCUGGAGUCUGCUGGCUGCCCGGGCCACAGCAGAUGAAGCUGCUUCAGGAUGAGGUGGCAGAUGGGAGUGAGCACAGGUGGCCAAGGCAAAGUCGUGGCGGGAGAAUAAUGAUGAAUGGAGCAGCCGGACCCUCGCACAUGGACUGUUGCGAGCGGGUUCUCACGUUAGGCGAGAGUUUCGAGAAGCAGCCACGCUGCACGUUCCACACUGUACACUAUGACUUCAAACCUGCUUCUGUUUCUAUUGACACUUCUGUGAAGGAGAGCUUACAGUCAGCAAAGGUGAACAGGUGACAAUAACUGUGCCAGAUAUAGAGGGUUCAACUCCACCAGUAACUGUUUUCAAAGGUUCAGAGAAACCUUACUUAAAGGAAUGCAUUUUAAUUAUUAACCAUGACACUGGAGAAUGCCAACUGGAAAAACUCAGCAGCCACAUCACUGUAAAAAGAACAAGAGUUGAAGGAAGUCGUUAACUUCAGUAUCGUUGAGAGCAAUGGCAGCAAAAAAUGCGGACUUCAGCUAGGACUCCCCAUCUUGUGAAACAGUCUCCAUCUGAAGACAAAUGUCCCCAGCAUCACCAGUGGAUGAUACUGAGAGAGAACUGAAGGCAGAAGCUAGUCUGAUGGGCCAGAUGAGUAGUUGUGAUAGUUCAUUGGAUUCCAAAAGUUCAUCAUCUUCAAGUAGUGAGGAUAGUUCCAGUGAUUCAGACGAUGAAGAGUGCAGAUCCUCUCCUUCUGAUCCAGGGAAUUAUAUCUCAGGACAUCCUGCCAUGUCUGCCAUGCCACAUUGCAGGAUUCCUGAUACGGAUGCCGGCCAGAAUAGAUCUCAUGACAACAGUGGCCUUCUGAUGAGUACUUUAAGAAAUGAUUUGCAGCUGAGUGAAUCAGGAAGUGGCAGUGAUGACUGAAGAAACAUUCAGCUAUAAAUAUAAAAUUUGUAAGAUGUGAUUAUUUUAUAUUAAGAAUCAAGAUUCCUAAUACUGAAGAAAAUGUGUCUUAACUUUUGAUGAUAAAAUAAAUUAAAUUUGGUUCAGAAUUUUCAGUUGAUGUUAUAUUUUUGGCCUUUUUAAAGUACCAGCAUUUCCAUUUAUUAGGCUUUACAGAUGAGAAAACAGACGUUAGGUAACUUGCCCACAUAUUGUUAGUUAACAAGUAGCAGAUCAGGUGUUCUAGAGUUCAAGUUCAAUGCUCUGUUUUAAAACACUGCUGUCGGGGCACCUGGGUGGCUCAGUCAUUAAGCGUCUGCCUUCGGCUCAGGUCAUGAUCCCGGGAUCCUGGGAUCGAGUCCCACAUCGGGCUCCCUGCUCAGCGGGAAGCCUGCUUCUCCCUCUCCCACUCCCCCUGCUUGUGUUCCUGCUCUCGCUCUCGCUCUCUCUCUCUGUCAAAUAAAUAAAUAAAUAAUCUUAAAAAACAAAACAAAACAAAAACACUGCUAUCUCCCAAUUGUGAAAUGUCACAACAACUGAUUUAUAAUAAAUGCCCAUGGUUUAAAAAAAAAAGAAAAAGACUCUUCUACUUAUUUUCUUUGGAACCUGACUAAUAUGUAGCAGGCAUUCAGUAGUUUUCAAUAUAUUGUUUAAUAAAAUCAAGAUUUUUUACAAGCUAAGUAUUUUGAAUGCUCAUUUUCAUAAUAAAAUUUUUGGAAAGUCUCUAAUGUAUUUUGUACAGAGUAAUUCUUCAAAGUCAUGUAUUUAAUACAUUAGAAUUUCCUUGUUUCCUGUUGACAUUUAGUAAAUUAUGGCCAUGUGAUUGCUUAUAUAUUUUCCAUUUUCAGAUUAUUAUAUUCAUCAAGUCUUUGGCUAUAACCUUUUCUGGGGUCAUCUAGAUGAGUAGUUCUUAGAUUUUUAAAUUUCAUAGAAUAAUAAAAUUUUUAGUUAAUUUUGGGCAAUGUCUUAAAUUUUGCUAAGUAAGCACAUCAAGAGAAAAAAGUCACUGUCACCUACAGUCUUCAUUUUAAUACCAAAAAGGUAGAAAGAACAUCACUUCCAGGUAAAAUAGUCCUUCCUAAGAAAAUCAAGACAUAUUAUUGAUUACUAUAUGCUAGGCAUUAUACCUAGUAUUUAAAGAUUUUUUAUUUGAGAGACAGAGAAAGUUGGAGCAAGAGUGCGAGCAAGAGCAUGAGCAGGGGGAGGGGCAGAAGGAGAGGAAGAAGCAGACUCCCUGCUGAGCAGGGUGCCUGAUGUGGGGCUCCAUCCCAGAACCGUGGGAUCAUGACCUGAGCGGAAGGCAGAUGCUUAACUGACUGAGCGACCCAGGUGCCCCUACAUCUAGUAUUUAAAUAUGUUAUCUAAUUUAAUUUUCAAAAUAGCCCUGUUAUUAUAUUGAUUUGACUGGAAAAGAAUUUGAGGCUCAGUUAUAUCAGGUAACUUGGUUAGAACAGGUUGAUUUAAUAGCACAUGUUCUUAACAUAGUUCAGGCACUUUUAUAAUUCAGAACAAUUAGCCUAAAAUGGUGGGUUUCUAUAAUUGUGGGUUUCUUUUUUUUUUUUUUAAGAUCUUAUUUAUUUAUUUGAAAGACAGGGAGCACACGCACAAGCCGGGGGGAGAGGCAG